rnacentral:misc_RNA from 1 species
GCGACCCAUGUCACCAGCAGAGUCUGUUACUACAACUCCCAGAAAGGGGAAGAAAAAGAAGAAGAAAGGAGAAGAGACUGAAGAUGAAGACACUAGACCUCUAUCUCCCUCAGAGGAUUCUAUGCCAGCCACACCAACCAAAACUAAAGGGAAGAAAAAGAAGAAGAAAGGAGAAGAGACUGAGGAUGAAGACACCAGACCUUUAUCUCCUUCAGAGGAUUCUACGCCAGCCACACCAACCAAAACUAAAGGAAAGAAAAAGAAGGGAAAGGAUGAAGAGAGGCCUAUGUCACCAUCUGAAGAAUCAGCCACAGAGGAGAAGGUAGAGAAGAAAAAGAAGAAAAAGAAAGAUAAGAAGCAGGAGGAGAAGGAUGAAGAAGAGACUGAAGAAAAGGCUGUUACAAAGAAAAAGAAGAAGAAAAAGAAGGAAGGUGAAGAAGAAGAAGAAGAGGAGGAGGAAGAUGAUGAUGAAGAAGAAGAGGGGGAGAUGUCACCUGAUGAGGAAACUAUAGUGAAAAAGGCAGCUAAGAAAAAAGAG